UACGGGGGGGGCAAGCGUUGUUCGGAAUUACUGGGCGUAAAGGGUUCGUAGGUGGCCAACUAAGUCAGACGUGAAAUCCCUCAGCUUAACUGGGGAACUGCGUCUGAUACUGGUUGGCUUGAGUGCAGGAGAGGAAUGCGGAAUUCCAGGUGUAGCGGUGAAAUGCGUAGAUAUCUGGAGGAACACCGGUGGCGAAGGCGGCAUUCUGGACUGCAACUGACUCUGAUGAACGAAAGCCAGGGGAGCAAACGGG
rnacentral:rRNA from 1 species